rnacentral:rRNA from 1 species
UACGUAGGGGGCAAGCGUUGUCCGGAAUUAUUGGGCGUAAAGCGCGCGCAGGCGGUUCAUUAAGUUGGGUGUUUAAUCCCGGGGCUCAACCCCGGUUCGCAUCCGAAACUGGUGAACUUGAGGGUAGGAGAGGAAAGUGGAAUUCCACGUGUAGCGGUGAAAUGCGUAGAGAUGUGGAGGAACACCAGUGGCGAAGGCGACUUUCUGGCCUAUUACUGACGCUGAGGCGCGAAAGCGUGGGGAGCAAACAGG